AUUGAACGCUGGCGGCAGGCCUAACACAUGCAAGUCGAACGAGUGGCGGACGGGUGAGUAAUGUCUGGGAAACUGCCUGAUGGAGGGGGAUAACUACUGGAAACGGUCGCUAAUACCGCAUACCAUCGGAUGUGCCCAGAUGGGAUUAGCUAGUAGGUGGGGUAAAGGCGCACCUAGGCGACGAGCCCUAGCUGGUCGGAGAGGAUGACCAGCCAAACUGGAACUUAGACACGGUCCAGACUCCUACGGUAGGCAGCAGUGGGGAAUAGUGCACAAGGGGCGCAAGCCUGAUGCAGCCAUGCCGCGUGUAUGAAGAAGGCCUUCGGGUUGUAAAGUACUUUCAGCGGGGAGGCGUUACCCGCAGAAGAAGCACCGGCUAACUCCGUGCCAGCAGCCGCGGUAAUUC
rnacentral:rRNA from 1 species